UUCAGGGGUAAACCUGAGAAACCCGAAAGGUCGAAAGGGGAAAUUCAUUCGCGUCUCGACCGUCGGAGUGGGGCGAUCGAGUGACGGACGGCGUACGCGUCGUCCGCGCCUUUCGUUCUAUUAUUCGGCGUCGAACGCGUGCACUUUUCCCCUAGUAGGACGUCGCGAUCCGUUGGGUGUCGGUCUAAGGCUCUCGUGGUGGAGCCCGGGCGUACGUCUUCGGGCGUUUGCGCUCGGACCCGCGGUGUCCCGGCCGACCCGCUCGACGGUAUACAGAUGGCGCGGGGCCGCUACUUUAGUUAGCGUUCGGCCCGCGGCAAGCGCGUACGGUGUUGGCGGCGAUCGGACCUAGCGCCGAUCCCGUCCCCGGACGACUGUUGGCUGCGGUGUUCUCGAACAGACCCUGGUUUUGAAACGCCGAUCUGCGACGCUAUAGCUUUGGGUACUUUCAGGACCCACGGACCAAGGAGUCUAGCAUGUGCGCGAGUCAUUGGGACAUAACUAAACCUAAAGGCGCAAUGAAAGUGAAGGUUCGCCUCGCGCGAACCGAGGGAGGAUGGGCGGCGGUUCGUACUUCGUGCGGCCGCUCCGCACUCCCGGGGCGUCUCGUUCUCAUCGCGAGAAGAGGCGCACCAAGAGC
rnacentral:rRNA from 1 species